GCUUGAAUUCGUAGUCAUAUGCUUGUCUCAAAGAUUAAGCCAUGCAAGUCUAAGUAUAAGCACGUAUACGGUGAAACUGCGAACGGCUCAUUAAAUCAGUUAUCGUUUAUUUGAUAGUACCUUUCUACACGGAUACCUGUGGAAAAGCUAGAGCUAAUACUGUGCCAAACGCCGCGACUUCGGAAGCGGUGCACUCAUUAGAUUCAAAACCAACGCCCUUCGGGGCUUUCUGGUGAUUCAUAGUGAUUCAGCGAAUCGCAUGGCCUUGCGCCGGCGAUGGUUCAUUCAAAUUUCUGCCCUAUCAACUUUCGAUUGGAUUGUCGUGGAAUCCAAUGGUGACAACGGGUAACGGGGAAUUAGGGUUCGAUUCCGGAGAGGGAGCCUGAGAAACGGCUACCACAUCCAAGGAAGGCAGCAGGCGCGCAAAUUACCCAAUCCCGAUGCGGGGAGGUAGUGACAAUAAAUACUGAUACAGGGCUCUUUUGGGUCUUGUAAUUGGAAUGAGUACAAUUUAAAUCCCUUAACGAGGAACAAUUGGAGGGCAAGUCUGGUGCCAGCAGCCGCGGUAAUUCCAGCUCCAAUAGCGUAUAUUAAAGUUGUUGCAGUUAAAAAGCUCGUAGUUGAACCUUGGGCCUGGCUGGCCGGUCCGCCUUACCGCGUGCACUGGUCCGGCCGGGCCUUUCUUCCAGGGGAACCGCAUGCCCUUCAUUGGAUGUGUCGGGGAACCUGGACUUUCACUGUGAAAAAAUUAGAGUGUUCAAAGCAGGCAGCGUGCUCGCAUAGAUUAGCAUGGAAUGAUGAAAUAGGAUGGCUGUUCUAUUUUGUUGGUUUCUGGGACCGCCGUAAUGAUUAAUAGGGAUAGUCGGGGGCGUCAGUAUUCAACUGUCAGAGGUGAAAUUCUUGGAUUUGUUGAAGACUAACUACUGCGAAAGCAUUCGCCAAGGAUGUUUUCAUUAAUCAGUGAACGAAAGUUAGGGGAUCGAAGACGAUCAGAUACCGUCGUAAGUCUUAACCAUAAACUAUGCCGACUAGGGAUCGGGCGAUGUAUCUUUUUGACUCGCUCG
rnacentral:rRNA from 1 species